AUAUUUUUUUCACUAGGUAAUUUUUGAAUUGGAUAUUUUUAAGAAUAUUAAAACGAAUGAUCAGUGUUUUUUUUUUGUGUGUUUUUUAUCAAUUAUGAGAUGAAUUACUACAUAUCACAGACUUAUAUAUCACUUUUGUGUGCCAUCGUGGAGCACUGGCCGGACGAGAUCUGAGGGCAGAGCUCUUGCUGCAUCGCCGCGAUCCGCUGCAACCAGCCGUGCACGUCGGCUAUGGGGCUUGGCGUCGAGGUGGAGCUGGUUGGCGCUGGGCUGGCUAUCGUCGGCUCCGUCAGUCGGGUCGGCGACGAGUUCAGAGCCUCCUGGGCGAGGGACGCCUCGUAGUGGUCCAGAUACUCCGGAGGCAACGCUUGGUGGUGGAACUUGAGCUUCCAUCGCGACUUCCUGCGCCCACGACUGCAACAGAUUUUCCACGUCCCGAGUUUUAAUGGACCAUUCCACGGAUUUUAUGUUAUUUCAUUUUAUUUCGGAGAUCGAAUUUAGAAAUACUUAUUUUUAUUUAUUGUUCAGUCGAAUUGACGAGAUUGCAAAAAAUUGUAUUUCCAACAGUAGAAAAGAAUAUUUAAGAUUAUUUAUCGUCGUUGAACCACGAAAUUAUUGCAACUUUUCGUCUAAUUACGCAAAAAUGAAAGGUACAAUUUGAAGAUGCAUAAUUGUUAACGCAUUUACUACGUGAAAACAACUAUACAAAUUUUUACCACGCUCGAAAAAAAAAAAGAAAGCAAAAAGAUGCGAAACCUGAUUAAAUUCUCGCAAUUCCGAAAGAAAAAAAAAAGAAGCUCCGAAUCCUCCGCAUUCUCCCCGUUCCACCCAUCGUUCCUACGCGUAAUUAAUUCGUAAUUAAUUUCUCAUCGAGUAUUCCGCGUGAAGAGAAUCGCAUGGAAAUCGACUAAUAAUUACAUCGGCGAUACGAGGCUUUCGUUAACGUUGUUUUCCACCUAACUGCAUUCCAAACCACACCUCGACACACACGUCGAUUUAUACGUCGAGCCAUUCCAUCUUACGUGUACAUUAUGCAUAGAGAGUGUCCCGCGCUCCUCUUCCCUACUACUCGUUCUUUUUCUUUUUCUUUUUCUUUUUUUUCUUUUUUUUUAAUGAAAUUCAAUGUAACGGUAAUCAACUCGCGGCAUUUCAACGAGUCGACGUGCCAAAGAGGUUCUGUUUCUUUCUUCUUUUUUUUUCUCUCUUUUCAGAAAAGAACGCGGGAGAGAGUUCAUUUGGAACGAACCAGUUUCUCGCUGAAUCCAUUCUUGCUUAUCUAAAACUCUUUCGCGGCUGUAAACGAGACGAGUUGAAAGGGUCGUUAGAGUGGGAGGGGGAGGGGGGAGAGAAAGAGAGCGAGAAGGUGUCAGCGUACGGGGGAUCGAGAAGGAUAGAACGAGCGAGGAUAAUUGGAGGUUGGAAAAGGAAAUGAUUAAUCGAUUAAGAAGAGAGGAAAUGGUUGCGCAAAUGGAAUGAAAAUUUUUCGUUCUAAGAUUUAAAUGGAGAUCAGGAUGAGUUGAAAAGCCUCGUAAUGUAAAUUAGACGAAUUUUUCAAUUUCGUGAUGUUGAUACGAAAAUUUAUUUAUUUGUACUAUGUUUAAAUUUAAUCAUUCUAUUGAAUUAAAGAAUUAUUUUAAGAAACGAAA